AAGUCGUAACAAGGUUUCCGUAGGUGUCAUUAACACGUAUCCAACGUUAAACCCCCCCGUGAACCUUCAGUAGCAAUCCCUGGUAAAUCAUUGCCGAACAGUUUUGAUUCAGGGACUUCUGCGUAGACUGUGCUUGAGCGUGAGGCAAGUGGCCUGGCAUUCCUCUGCUUGUUGGUGUCUGAAAGUGUCACCAGCUCUGUACGAAUGGCGCAGUCACGAUCGCUAGAGGCCGACACGGCCGGCGACCGGGUCACUGGGCGCGAGCCCCCCUCGUCACCUUUGCAUGAAAACGGGCCUGCGCUUAAUUGUGCGGCCACCAAACUCGAACAACUGUUAACAAUGGAUAUCUUGGUUCUC
rnacentral:misc_RNA from 1 species